rnacentral:rRNA from 1 species
GACGAACGCUGGCGGCGUGCUUAACACAUGCAAGUCGAACGGAAAGGCCCUUCUUGUGUGGGGUGCUCGAGUGGCGAACGGGUGAGUAACACGUGAGUAACCUGCCCUUGACUUUGGGAUAACGUCAGGAAACUGGGGCUAAUACCGGAUAGGAGCUCCUGCGUCAUGGUGGGGGUUGGAAAUUUUCGGCGGUUGGGGAUGGACUCGCGGCUUAUCAGCUUGUUGGUGGGGUAGUGGCUUACCAAGGCUUUGACGGGUAGCCGGCCUGAAGGGGGGACCGGCCACAUUGGGACUGAGAUACGGCCCGAACUCCUCCGGGAGGAAGCGGUGGGGAAUAUUGCACAAUGGGCGGAAGCCUGAUGCAGCAACGCCGCGUGCGGGAUGACGGCCUUCGGGUUGUAAACCGCUUUCGCCUGUGACGAAGCGUGAGUGACGGUAAUGGGUAAAGAAGCACCGGCUAACUACGUG